rnacentral:rRNA from 1 species
CCUACGGGUGGCAGCAGUGGGGAAUAUUGCACAAUGGGGGAAACCCUGAUGCAGCGACGCCGCGUGAAGGAAGACGUAUUUCGGUACGUAAAGCUCUAUUAGUAGGGAAGAAAAUGACGGUACCUGACUCAGAAGCCCCGGCUAACUACGUGCCAGCAGCCGCGGUAAUACGUAGGGGGCAAGCGUUAUCCGGAUUUACUGGGUGUAAAGGGAGCGUAGGCGGCAGGGCAAGUCUGGAGUGAAAUCUCAUGGCUUAACCAUGGAACUGCUUUGGAAACUGUGCAGCUAGAGUGUAGGAGAGGUAAGCGGAAUUCCGAGUGUAGCGGUGAAAUGCGUAGAUAUUAGGAGGAACACCAGUGGCGAAGGCGGCUUACUGGACUGUAACUGACGUUGAGGCUCGAAAGCGUGGGGAGCAAACAGGAUUAGAUACCCGUGUAGUC